UAUUAUAUGUAAGAGAGGCUCCAUUUCUAGAAUAUUUGUGUUUGCACAAUGUCGACUGCUUCUUCCAUCAGUGGCUGCUGCCUCUCCUCUUUCUCUCCCUCUAAGACCUCUCUCACCACUCCCGCAUUACGACCCUCCACUCUCUCUGCAAGGCUUGCCUCUCCUCCUCCUUCCUCUUCCUCCUCCUCCUCUUCCUCUAUCCCUUCUCUCAUUCAAAACAGGCCUGUCUUUGCUGCCCCUAGUCCUCUCAUCACCCCCACUCUGAACGAGGACAUGGGGAAGGAUUCAUACGAGGAAGCUAUUGUAGAACUCGAGAAACUGCUCAAGGUGAAGGGCGAGUUGAAACCCACAGCUGCUGCGAAAGUGGAACAAAUAACAGCUCAGCUGGGGACACCAACAUCUGAAGGCAUCGCAUCAUCCGAAGCUGUCGAGAGGAUCAAAGCUGGUUUUAUUUACUUCAAGAGAGAGAAAUACGAGAAGAACCCUGCUCUGUACGGUGAACUUGCCAAAGGACAGAGCCCCAAGUUCAUGGUAUUUGCUUGCUCAGACUCAAGGGUGUGCCCAUCUCACGUGCUAGAUUUUCAACCUGGGGAGGCUUUUGUGGUCAGAAAUGUUGCUAACUUGGUCCCGCCAUACGAUCAGACAAGAUAUUCUGGAGUUGGGGCUGCCAUUGAGUACGCUGUCCUGCAUCUCAAGGUGGAGAACAUUGUGGUGAUUGGCCACAGUGCUUGUGGUGGUAUUAAGGGGCUCAUGUCCAUCCCAGAUAAUGGAGCCGUUCCCAGCACUGACUUCAUAGAGGACUGGGUCAAGAUUGGUUUGCCUGCAAAGGCAAGAGUGAAAGCAGUUCAUGGAGGCGCACCAUUCCCUGAGUUGUGCACACACUGUGAGAAGGAAGCUGUGAAUGUUUCACUGGGGAAUCUGCUGACAUAUCCAUUUGUGAGAGAGGGGUUGGUGAACAAGACACUGGCACUGAAAGGAGGAUACUACGACUUUGUGAAAGGAUCUUUUGAGCUGUGGGGCCUUCAAUUUGGCCUUUCUUCUUCCUUCUCCGUAUGAACCAACAACCAUUAAUAUAUUACCAAUGAGUCCUGCUCAUCUUGGUUCCCUAACUAGUUGUCUUCUCUCUUGUAACUACCCCCUCUUGUAAAAGAUGUGGCCACCAUUCUGCAUUGGAAGCUAUAUUAGAGGUCGUGUUUGCUAUGAAGAGUGCUACUACCUACCUUCUUCGUAUACACUUUAUAUGACACUCUGAACUGGGUUUGUGUAGUAGACAAUACUUUCUUUUUUUUCCCUUAAAUUAUGAGACCACAAAAUGUUCAUUA